GAGAGCGAAAGGAGAGAAAUGAAGGACUGGCUGGGGUGGAGACAGGAUGCCUCAAGAGAAUGCGGAGAGGAAGGAGCUUCGUGAAGGAAGAACGCCAAGAAGCGUAAAGACCGAGCGGGUUGAAAGCCUCACGAGGACAGCCACCACUGGUUGUUCCUCGCAUCAGGGUGACAGAAUGGCAGCCGCAAAGGGUGUCUGCAGGUGCUGAUUGACUGAAGUGGGUGGUUGGAACAGUUUGUUCUCAAGACAACUUGCAUCACAUUCUAACUGCUCCUGGCAUCUCAACUCGAGAUUGUAAUGUGCUUUCUUGCCCUUCUAAGGGAAUAAAAAAGAACAAAAGAUAUUUUAAUAGAAUAACUUCUGAAAUUUUUUUCGAAAAGGUUUUUUUUUAAAAGAGCCACCCCAGCACCUCCAACAACCUUUCUUCUGCAUCAGCCUCGUGAGUCAUCCUCAAUGAGAGUACGUGACUCCUCAGGUUAACUUCCUUUAUGAGAGAUGCAGCUGCCUUUGAACCAUCCAUGUCCUUGUCACCUCUCAUCUAGGCUCCUGUAAGUAGCCCCUCACCCACGUCCCUAUAAGAAGAGACUCACUGCUUCGCUAAGUUAGACUUGGCUGGAAUAGUUUCUUGGGUGUAGAUGGUGCCCUGUCUUGGGCUGGACUUGAAUUUACACUGACUCUCCUACCCCAUCCUCCCAAGCGCUGGGAUUAAAGGCAAGUCCUUGUUCAUAUUGGAAUCAGAUGGAAAUUCAAGGGUCACUUCUUCCAAGUUGCUGCAUGAAGAGGACGCGGGGGCUGGAGAGAUGGGUUAGUGGUUAAGCGCUUGCCUGUGAAGCCUAAGGACCCCAGUUCGAGGCUCCAUUCACCAGGACCCACUUUAGCCAGAUGCACACAAGG